AUCUGAGGCAGACGACGUAACGUUAGCCAGUUGAUAAGGGAUUAUGUUGUAAUCUUCUUCAUGUGUGUAAAAGGGUAGUGUACCCAAACAAUACUAAUUCAGUACGACUAGUGCAGUAGGUUUUAAAGGCGACAGACCACGUUGCUUACAUAUUUAAUUAUGCUAUAAUUAACCUAGAAAGUGGAUAAAGGAGGUUAAAGCUCCUGAGAGAGUGAAAGUGAAGACAGGCACAGAAAAAGACUACAGACCUAUGACCAGCUUCAUCUCCAUACUGGCAUGAUAAGUCCGAUCUUCAAGCAAAAGGAACUGGAUGAAAUAUUUAUAUGCUACCAAUCCACAGUCUGAUUUCUGACUUGUGAUGCAGCCUGAAUCAUAAUCACACUGUUCGUUUGUUGGCCAGAGGAGAACUGGGCCCCCAACUGAGCCUGGUUUCUCCCAAGGUUUUUUUCUCCAUUCUGUCACCUGAUGGAGUUCCUUGCCUUGAUUAGUUGGGGACACUUAAUAUUCAACAAUAUUAUUGAUUUGACUGCACUGACACUAUUGGAUGAGAACUGAACUGAACUGAACUGGACGUUGACAUCACUGUUUUCUGCAGAACUGUUUUAUAGAUGAAUUGAACUAAUUUAAUUGAUGAUAUUUACAACGGAACUGAAUCAACACUAAACUGACUUCAGAUGAACAAUGACACUGUUUUCUUUCAGACCUGCUGUACAGCCAAAAUUAACUCUGUUUGCAUAAUUGAAUCAUUUUUCUGUUAUCACUGUAAAGCUGCUUUGAAACAAUCUGUAUUGUAUGAAGUGCUAUAUAAAUAAAGGUGACUCGAUUAUAAUCUCA